rnacentral:rRNA from 1 species
AGUCUUCGGGAUGUAAAGGUCUUUGUGGGGGACGAAGGAAGUGACGGUACCCCACGAAUAAGCUCCGGCUAACUACGUGCCAGCAGCCGCGGUAAUACGUAGGGAGCGAGCGUUGUCCGAAUUUACUGGGCGUAAAGCGCGCGUAGGCGGGCUUUUAAGUUGUGGGUGAAAUGCCGAGGCUUAACCUCGGAACUGCUGCAAAACUGGAAGCCUUGAGGUUUGGAGAGGGAAGUGGAAUUCCAGGUGUAGCGGUGAAAUGCGUAGAUAUCUGGAGGAACACCCGUGGCGAAGGCGGCUUCCUGGCCAUAUCCUGACGCUGAGGUGCGAAAGCUAGGGGAGCGAACGGGAUUAGAUACCCCGGUAGUCCUAGCCGUAAACGAUGGAUACUAGGUGUUAGAGGUAUCGACCCCUCUAGUGCCGGAGCUAACGCAUUAAGUAUCCCGCCUGGGGAGUACGACCGCAAGGUUGAAACUCAAAGGAAUUGACGGGGGCCCGCACAAGCGGUGGAGCAUGUGGUUUAAUACGUCACUAACCGUAGAACCUUACCCAGGCUUGACAUCUAGGGAAUCCUGAUGAAAGUCGGGAGUGCCUUCGGGAGCCCUAAGACAGGUGUUGCAUGGCUGUCGUCAGCUCGUGUCGUGAGAUGUUGGGUUAAGUCCCGCAACGAGCGCAACCCUCAUCCGAUGUUGCCAGCGUAAAGUCGGGAACUCUUCGGAAACUGCCCGUGUAAGCGGGAGGAAGGUGGGGAUGACGUCAAGUCAGCAUGGCCCUUACGCCUGGGGCUACACACAUGCUACAAUGGGCGCUAACAAAGGGCAGCAAUACCGCGAGGUGGAGCGAAUCUCAAAAAUGCGUCCUCAGUUCGGAUUGUAGUCUGCAACUCGACUACAUGAAGUCGGAAUCGCUAGUAACCGCAGGUCAGCUAAACUGCGGUGAAUACGUUCCCGGGCCUUGUACACACCGCCCGUCAUGCCACCUGAGUUGUCUGCACCCGAAGUCGAGGCCUAACCCGCAAGGGAAGGAGUCGCCGAAGGUUGGAGCG